ensembl:snRNA U6 U6 spliceosomal RNA
GUACUCGCUUCAGCAGCACAUAUACUAAAAUAGGAACAAUACAGAGAAGAUGAGCACGGUCCCUGUGCAAGGAAGAUACGCAAAUUUGUGAAGCAUUCCAUAUUUUU